GACGAACGCUGGCGGCGUGCCUAAUACAUGCAAGUCGAACGAGAGCGACCGGUGCUUGCACUGGUCAAUCUAGUGGCGAACGGGUGAGUAACACGUGGGUAACCUGCCCAUCAGAGGGGGAUAACAUCCGGAAACGGAUGCUAAAACCGCAUAGGUCUUCGAGCCGCAUGGCUUGAAGAGGAAAAGAGGCGCAAGCUUCUGCUGAUGGAUGGACCCGCGGUGCAUUAGCUAGUUGGUGAGGUAACGGCUCACCAAGGCCGUGAUGCAUAGCCGACCUGAGAGGGUGAUCGGCCACAUUGGGACUGAGACACGGCCCAAACUCCUACGGGAGGCAGCAGUAGGGAAUCUUCCGCAAUGGACGCAAGUCUGACGGAGCAACGCCGCGUGAGUGAAGAAGGUUUUCGGAUCGUAAAACUCUGUUGUUAGAGAAGAACAAGUGCUAGGGUAACUGUUAGCG
rnacentral:rRNA from 1 species